rnacentral:rRNA from 1 species
AUGAAAAUUUUAAAUGGCCGCAGUACCCUGACUGUGCUAAGGUAGCAUAAUCAAUUGGCCUUUAAUUGAGGUCUAGAAUGAAUGGAUCAAUACGGAAGUGAUCUGUCUCCUUCAGAGUCUGUUGAAGUUAUCUUUAAAGGUGAAAAGGCCUUUAGUACGAAAAUAGACGAGAAGACCCUAAGAGUUUUAAUUAUAAGUAAAGGCUUUUACUUUUUUUUUUUGCUGGGGCGGCAAAGAAACAAUUAACUUUCUUGCUUGUGUUUAUGAAGUCGACGCGAAAUUUUAUGAAGAACCAAUAAACUACCUUAGGGAUAACAGCAUAAUUAUUUUAAUGUUUGUGACCUCGAUGUUGGACUAGGAAAGCUUUAUGGCUAGCCGCCGAAAGUGUUAUGUUCUGUUCGAACGCU